CCCUGGAAGACCACACGGCCAAGCCAAAACCAUCAGCAGACAGUUGCAUUUAUUUGAACAAACUGUGAAAGACCGGAACCUGGCUUCACAUCCAGACCUGCUGCUCGGAGCGGCUUCCGUCUUCAAGCUACUGAAUGGAUGGAGGGGAAGGACAUUUUCAGGAAUAGAAACAGAACUGCUGUUCAAGUAGGGAGGAGAGAUGUGCACAGCUGAUCUUUAUUCAUGGCUUCCUUUGAUGACAGCAACAGGCUUGGCAGCGAAUACCAUUGUGACGAUCCAUUAUAGGAUUUGAGCACUUCACUUACAAGAAAUGUUUGAAGACGACAGGCAGGCGGAGUUGGGACGGCUUCAAACGCACCCUGGAUUCAUCUCCGAUGCUGGCCGGGUUUCAGCGCCUUUCAGCGAGCUUCCGUCGGCACAUCCACGCCAUGUCAGCCGCGCCGAAAAUCCUGGAGUCCGUGAUAAAGGCGAAAUGAAAAGAGCAAAUCCAAUAUGGGCCGUGAAAGCAUGUGCAUGCAUAAAGAACAGCAGCCGUGUGAUUGCUCAAGCGAGCGUGGGGAAGGAAGAGGACAUAAAGUGCUGAGAAAGAACAACGGAGGAUGAGACUGUUCACUUCUAAAAGCUCUUAAAAGCUGCACUUUUAUCAUGUGAUACCGGCGGCUUUAGAAACCAGAGUGAGGGAUAGAAGGAAGUCCGUCUUCGAAGGAGACAGACGUACUCUUUACCUUCGUCUCAUGACCUUACUUACCGGAGCAGAGGCCCAAACACAAAGCAGCAGCUUUGUAGUUUUUAACCCUUUUUCCCUCCUCGUGUCGCUGUCUGACUUUACUCUUCAUAUUCAUGCAACAUCAUUUUUGAGAAAUUCUGAG